CCUGGCUCAGAUUGAACGCUGGCGGCAUGCCUUACACAUGCAAGUCGAACGGCAGCACGGGAGCAAUCCUGGUGGCGAGUGGCGAACGGGUGAGUAAUACAUCGGAACGUGCCCAGUAGUGGGGGAUAGCCCGGCGAAAGCCGGAUUAAUACCGCAUACGACCUACGGGUGAAAGCGGGGGAUCGCAAGACCUCGCGCUGUUGGAGCGGCCGAUGGCAGAUUAGCUUGUUGGUGGGGUAAUGGCCUACCAAGGCGACGAUCUGUAGCUGGUCUGAGAGGACGACCAGCCACACUGGGACUGAGACACGGCCCAGACUCCUACGGGAGGCAGCAGUGGGGAAUUUUGGACAAUGGGCGCAAGCCUGAUCCAGCCAUGCCGCGUGCGGGAAGAAGGCCUUCGGGUUGUAAACCGCUUUUGUCAGGGAAGAAACGCGCCGGGUUAAUACCUCGGCGUAAUGACGGUACCUGAAGAGUAAGCACCGGCUAACUACGUGCCAGCAGCCGCGGUAAUACGUAGGGUGCAAGCGUUAAUCGGAAUUACUGGGCGUAAAGCGUGCGCAGGCGGCUUUGCAAGACAGAUGUGAAAUCCCCGGGCUUAACCUGGGAACUGCAUUUGUGACUGCAUGGCUGGAGUGCGGCAGAGGGGGAUGGAAUUCCGCGUGUAGCAGUGAAAUGCGUAGAUAUGCGGAGGAACACCGAUGGCGAAGGCAAUCCCCUGGGCCUGCACUGACGCUCAUGCACGAAAGCGUGGGGAGCAA
rnacentral:rRNA from 1 species